rnacentral:siRNA from 1 species
GGUACGCCAAGUGUGCCAACUCCC